ensembl:lncRNA
UAUACAUUACACAAUAUACAUUAUGUGUACUUUUGCGUUAUUUCUAACACUAGACAUCUGUAUGUGUAUGUGGGUGAGUUUUUUUUUUAGAAAAGCGGAUGCUGUUUUGUGUGAAAUGAUGAUUGCUCGGAAGGUCCUAACUGUUGUUCCCCAAGGGAUAUACCACACGCACACACACACAUAUACACACACACACACAUACACACUCACACGUUGUCUGUUGUACUGUAGUGUGCACUUCAAGUAUAAAACUAUGUGUUAGUUUGUGAAAGUAAGAGUGUUUUACACACAGAUGUGUAAAAGGAGGUGUAAUAACUCUGCUGGAGGAGGAAGUGUGUAUCGGACCUACUGACAUAUUUUCAAAAAAAAAAAAAAACAAAAAAAAAACAACCCACACUCGCUCACACUUUUCUACACACACUCUCUAGUAUGACUCUUCUCUCAUUUGCGUGUGUGCAUGUGUGUGUGAAUGUGCGUGUUUGUGUGUGUGUGUGUAAACUAUAUUAAAGCUGUUGUUACAUCGGGCACAUACUUCUCACACCUACACACACACACGCGCACACACACACGCACAAUUAGCUUUUACAAGCUGAACUCAUUUGAGUUAAUUAAAAUAUCACUUGGGUUCUGAUAAUUUUGUGAAGAUGUUACAGACUUUAUAAGACCAUUCCACUGCACAACUCUGUGUGUGUGUCUGUGUGUGUGUUGUGUGUGUGUGUGUGUGUGUGUGUGUGUGUGUGUGUGUGUGUGUGUGUGUGAUUACAGUGAUAAAGUAAUUGUCAGCACUACCUGACCAUGGCUCUGAAAAACAACACAGCAAGUAUGUGUGUUUGUGUGUGUGUGUGUGUGUGUGUGUUUGUGUGUGUGUGUGUGUGUGUAGUUUUGAGUUAGGAGUGUCAAACUGAUGUGUGUGUGUGUUUGUGUGUGUGUGUGUGUGUGUAGUUUUGAGUUAGGAGUGUCAAACUGAUGUGUGUGUGUGUGUGUGUGUGUGUGUGUGUGUGUGUGUGUGUGUGUGUGUGUGUGUGUGUGUGAUUACAGUGAUAAAGUAAUCGUGUGUAUGUUAUUUUCAGAAGUUGAACAAAACCUGACCAUGGCUCUGAAAAACAACACAGCAAGUAUGUGUGUGUGUGUGUGUGUGUGUGUGUGUGUGUAGUUUUGAGUUAGGAGUGUCAAACUGAUGUGUGUGUGUGUGUGUGUGUUUUUGAGUUAGGAGUGUCAAACUGAUGUGUGUGUGUGGUUUUGAGUUAGGAGUGUCAAACUGAUGUGUGUGUGUGUGUGUGUGUGUGUAG